rnacentral:misc_RNA from 1 species
GCCUAGCCUUAAACAUUGACAACUUACAUUAUUUCAUCCGCCCGGGAACUACGAGCCGCAGCUUAAAACCCAAAGGACUUGGCGGUGCCCCAAACCCACCUAGAGGAGCCUGUUCUAUAAUCGAUACCCCCCGCUUAACCUCACCACCCCUCGCCAGCAGCCUAUAUACCACCGUCGCCAGCCCACCUCAUGAGAGAAAACAAGUAGGCAUAAUGGUAACCACCAAAACGUCAGGUCAAGGUGUAGCCUAUGGGGCGGAAAGCAAUGGGCUACACUUUCUACACAGAAAACUACGGAAGACUAUUAUGAAAUCUAGUCUGAAGGCGGAUUUAGUAGUAAAAAGAUUCAAGAGUGUUCUUUUUAAUCUGGCCCUGGGGCGCGCACACACCGCCCGUCACCCUCCUCAACUAACUCAACCCCCUAAUUAAAAACUAACCAGUUAACAAGAAGAGGCAAGUCGUAACAUGGUAAGUAUACCGGAAGGUGUGCUUGGAACAACAAAAUGUAGCUUAAUUAAAGCCUCUCGCUUACACCGAGAUAAUGUCCGUUAAACUCAGAUCAUUUUGAGCUGUAAACCUAGCCCUCAAAAAACAAUAACCCUCAAAUCCCAACUAAAUCAUUUACACUCUUUAGUAUAGGUGAUAAAAAAAGAAAUAAGCGCAACAGACAGAGUACCGUAAGGGAAAGAUGAAAUAGUUAUGAAAUAAUCACCAAAGCACUAAAAAGCAGAGAUACAUCCUCG